rnacentral:lncRNA from 10 species
UUUCCCCUCCGGCCUCUGCCGGUGCUGCUGCGCCCUGCGGAGCUCCGAACACGUGCGCGUGAGGAGUCCCAUAGAGCCUGACUCCGAGAGCCUCGAUCUCCCAGGGCCAGAGGCAGGGACUUUGGAAGAGAGGCUGGCUGUGGCAGAUGCAACUGCAGGAUGACUUGAAAGUAGGGCAUCCUUCACCCAUCUGAAGGGAGGAAAUAGUGGCAGGUGACAGUCUGCAUGUGCAGUUUUCAGAUGCCUUCACCUGAAUGACAUCUACCUCCAUCAGGACCCCAGAUGUCUGACAGCCCUGUGUGACACCAAGAUAAGUAACAAUCUGGCUGCUGACUACCCUAUUGGACAACUCCAAUAUUAGAGAACAUUUCCACCAAUUCAGAAAGUUUAUUAUGCACUGCUGUUCUAGAGCAGGGAUCAGCAAACUUGCUGUAAAGAGCCAGG